rnacentral:lncRNA from 10 species
GACUGGGAAGAUGGCCGUCUUUCCUUGGCACUCCAGGAAUAGGAACUACAAAGCUGAAUUUGCAUCAUGCCGACUGGAGGCUGUACCAUUGGAGUUUGGGGACUAUCACCCUCUGAAACCCAUAACUUUGUGAUCCUGAGUCAUGUCCAUUUGUCACAAAAACUAAGCAUCCCCUGCAGAUGGUUAAGUCUCUGCUGCAAAUGAACCAUCCAUUCAACUACCAGAAUGGGAGGAAAGUACCCACUGGAGUGUUUCACUGGAGAGAGUUGUGGGAGUUCCGUUUUACCUCCAGAAAUUUUCCUCACAGGUCACAGAGUCAAAGACAAAGAAAGUGAACCGGAAAGGAAGCACUUCUUCCACGUCCUCCUCCUCCUCCAGCUCCGUGGUGGACCCGCUGAGCAGCGUCCUCGAUGGGACUGACCCCCUCUCCAUGUUUGCAGCCACUGCUGACCCCGCAGCCUUGGCAGCUGCCAUGGACAGCUCCAGAAGGAAACGUGAUAGAGAUGAUAACUCCGUUGUA